rnacentral:rRNA from 1 species
GGAGGGGGCUAGCGUUAUUCGGAAUUAUUGGGCGUAAAGGGCGUGUAGGCGGCUUCGUAAGUCUCGUGUGAAAGCCCUCGGCUCAACCGAGGAAUUGCACGAGAAACUGCGUGGCUCGAGUCCGGGAGAGGAUAGUGGAAUUCCCAGUGUAGCGGUGAAAUGCGUAGAUAUUGGGAGGAACACCGGUGGCGAAGGCGGCUAUCUGGACCGGUACUGACGCUGAGACGCGAAAGCCAGGGGAGCAAACGGGAUUAGAUACCCCGGUAGUCCUGGCUGUAAACGAUGAGAACUUGGUGUGGCGGGUAUCGACCCCUGCCGUGCCGAAGCUAACGCAUUAAGUUCUCCGCCUGGGGAGUCCGGUCGCAAGACUG